rnacentral:rRNA from 1 species
CCUACGGGGCGCAGCAGUAGGGAAUCUUCCACAAUGGACGAAAGCCUGAUGGAGCAACGCCGCGUGAGUGAAGAAGGGCUUCGGCUCGUAAAACCCUGUUGGUAGAGAAGAAAGAUCGUGGGAGUAACUGGUCACGUUUCGACGGUAUCUAACCAGAAAGCCACGGCUAACUACGUGCCAGCAGCCGCGGUAAUACGUAGGUGGCAAGCGUUAUCCGGAUUUAUUGGGCGUAAAGGGAACGCAGACGGUCUUUUAAGUCUGAUGUGAAAGCCUGCGGCUUAACCGCCGGAGUGCAUUGGAAACUG